GGAUGUGAGAGUGAUCUGGCCAUGACAUCUGUCAACCCUUUGAUUGCCAGGGUUGAUUUGGUUAAUCUGGCUGGCUUGGCAGGUGUCCCCUUCCACCCUUACCGUGCCAUAGCAUCCCACCUAAAGCUGUGCAUUUGGUUGAAGAGGAUGACCUUCCUUCCCCGAUAGAGGAGGGCCAUUUCCUCAGCCAGAGGUGUACAAGUGGCUGCACUCUCUCCUAAGACCUCCGCACAAGCUCUCAAGGAUAAGUGUCUACGGAACACACUGUCUCAAUUCAAGCAUCAUCUGAACAGACGACACAGGCUGACGGGACUGAGUCUGCUUGU
rnacentral:snRNA from 1 species